UGCAUCUCCCUGAGGUAUCACCUUCUGCACUGCUGUGUUGUGACAGGUAUGGUGAUGGCAGGAGGAGGUGGAGAUGCCUGGAGAAGCUGUGGGGCCACCAAGCCUCUCACCUAGUGCCACUACUUCCCAUCCAGACCAUCUGUGACGGGCUGAGGUGCUCCUGUGGUUACACUGAGCCUCUCUUACCAUGAGGAAACCAUGGGAUGGUACCCACCAGCGCAGUACAGGAGCCGGUUGAAGCUGCAUGUGCUGAGUUACUGCAGAGGAACUUCACUACGAGGUGACACCCACUGCACAGGACUCUGCCUGGCAAUUCUCACGUCAGUUUGUAACUGAGCUGGAAGAUUGUUCAGACAACACUGAAUAAAGGGCCCGAACC
rnacentral:lncRNA from 1 species